GUGCAGCAGGGCGAGAAACCUUCGCAAUGCAGGAAACUGCGACGAGGGAACUCCAAGUGCCUACGCUCAGCGUAGGCUGUUCUCAAGCCUAGAAAGCUUGAGGAGUAAGGGCUGGGUAAGACGGGUGCCAUCUGUGGUAGCAGUCAAUAGAUUCGAUUUGUUACUGCAAGGCAUAAGCCGCCGCGGUAAUACCCGCAGCCCAAGUGGUGGCCGCUUUUAUGGGCCUAAGCGUCCGUAGCCGGCCCGGUAAAUGCCUGGGUAAAUCGUGGAGCCCAACUUCACGAAUUCCGGGUAGACUGCCGAGCUCGGGACCGGAAGAGGGAGA
rnacentral:rRNA from 1 species